rnacentral:siRNA from 1 species
UACCAACUGACACCUCGUUCCUA